UUCUUUGCAAAUAUUUCCGUGUAAAACACAACAAUGUUGAUUGGUACUCAAAACAAAACGUUCUUUGUAGUAAGACACAAGUGGAUACUACCGAUUUCAAAUAAAAUCUUUCUGUUUUUUUCUUAUUUGUGAAAUAUUAAUACACACAAAGCAAAACUA